rnacentral:rRNA from 1 species
CCUACGGGGGGCAGCAGUAGGGAAUCUUUCACAAUGGGCGAAAGCCUGAUGGAGCAACGCCGCGUGCAGGAUGAAGGCCUUCGGGUUGUAAACUGCUUUUAUAAGCGAGAAAUAUGAUGGUAACUUAUGAAUAAGGAUCGGCUAACUACGUGCCAGCAGCCGCGGUCAUACGUAGGAUCCGAGCAUUAUCCGGAGUGACUGGGUGUAAAGAGUUGCGUAGGUGGCAUAAUAAGUAGCUAGUGAAAUCUGGUGGCUCAACCAUUCAGACUAUUAGCUAAACUGUUAAGCUCGAGACCGUUAGGGGUAACUGGAAUUUCUAGUGUAGGAGUGAAAUGCGUAGAUAUUAGAAGGAAAACCAAUAGCGUAGGCAGGUUACUGGGACGGUUCUGACACUAAGGCACGAAAGCGUAGGGAGCAAACGGGAUUAGAUACCCUAGUAGUC